CAGCAGCCGCGGGAAUACAGAGGAUGCAAGCGUUAUCCGGAAUGAUUGGGCGUAAAGCGUCUGUAGGUGGCUUUUCAAGUCCGCCGUCAAAUCCCAGGGCUCAACCCUGGACAGGCGGUGGAAACUACCAAGCUGGGGUACGGUAGGGGCAGAGGGAAUUUCCAGUGGAGCGGUGAAAUGCGUUGAGAUCGAAAAGAACACCAACAGCGAAAGCACUCUGCUGGGACGACACUGACACUAAGAGACGAAAGCUAGGGGAGCAAAUGGGAUUAGAUACCCCCGUAGUCCCUGUCUCUUAUAA
rnacentral:rRNA from 1 species